rnacentral:rRNA from 1 species
CCUACGGGAGGCAGCAGUGAGGAAUAUUGGUCAAUGGCCGGGAGGCUGAACCAGCCAAGUCGCGUGAGGGAAGACGGCCCUACGGGUUGUAAACCUCUUUUGUCAGGGAGCAAGGUGCAGGUCGGGACCUGCUGUGAGAGUACCUGAAGAAAAAGCAUCGGCUAACUCCGUGCCAGCAGCCGCGGUAAUACGGAGGAUGCGAGCGUUAUCCGGUUUUAUUGGGUUUAAGGGGUGCGCAGGCGGAGGCACAAGUCAGCGGUAAAAUCGCGGGGCUCAACCCCGCUCCGCCGUUGAAACUGUGGCCCUUGAGUGCGCGAAGGGUAGGCGGAAUGCGUGGUGUAGCGGUGAAAUGCAUAGAUAUCACGCAGAACUCCGAUCGCGAAGGCAGCCUACCGGCGCGCAACUGACGCUCAUGCACGAAAGCGUGGGUAUCGAACAGGAUUAGAUACCCCAGUAGUC